AUUGAACGCUGGCGGCAGACCUAACACACAUAAGUGGAGCGGAAUCGCAGAGUAGCUUGCUACUCUGAUGUCGAGCGGCGGACGGGUGAGUAAUGCUUGGGAACAUGCCUUGAGGUGGGGGACAACAGUUGGAAACGACUGCUAAUACCGCAUAAUGUCUACGGACCAAAGGGGGCUUCGGCUCUCGCCUUUAGAUUGGCCCAAGUGGGAUUAGCUAGUUGGUGAGGUAAUGGCUCACCAAGGCGACGAUCCCUAGCUGGUUUGAGAGGAUGAUCAGCCACACUGGGACUGAGACACGGCCCAGACUCCUACGGGAGGCAGCAGUGGGGAAUAUUGCACAAUGGGCGCAAGCCUGAUGCAGCCAUGCCGCGUGUGUGAAGAAGGCCUUCGGGUUGUAAAGCACUUUCAGUCAGGAGGAAAGGUUAGUAGUUAAUACCUGCUAGCUGUGACGUUACUGACAGAAGAAGCACCGGCUAACUCCGUGCCAGCAGCCGCGGUAAUACGGAGGGUGCGAGCGUUAAUCGGAAUUACUGGGCGUAAAGCGUACGCAGGCGGUUUGUUAAGCGAGAUGUGAAAGCCCCGGGCUCAACCUGGGAACUGCAUUUCGAACUGGCAAACUAGAGUGUGAUAGAGGGUGGUAGAAUUUCAGGUGUAGCGGUGAAAUGCGUAGAGAUCUGAAGGAAUACCCGAUGGCGAAGGCAGCCACCUGGGUCAACACUGACGCUCAGUA
rnacentral:rRNA from 1 species